UGGAAAUUUCACAAAUAUUGCACCAUUUUCUUUUUUGGAAACUUUUUCCUUGUAAAUUGACUACUUUGCCCUUACUAGAUACAAAAUAAUCUACCUCAAUACUCCAUUUAAUCCUAAUUAACAUAUAUCAUUAACAUCACCCAACUAUAAAAAACAAGGACAACUCUCUCAUCUCAUAUUCUGGAUCCUUCCACCUCCUCUCUCACCUCUCACCUCUCUCCUUUGCUCCACCCCUCUCAUCCUUACUCAUUCGCGUUCAUCCGUCACAAAAAAUGCUACCCAUAUUUUUUUUUCAUUUUAACCCUAAUUUUCUUUUCGAAAUUCAUCUCUCUCAUAUUUAUUUCAUGAGAUUACCAAACACAACCUGUAAAAUCCCCUCUUUACAUCCCACAAAACAACCCAGAUUUUCUUCAAAAAAAAGGGGGCAAAUAUCUAGGGUUCUUGAGUUUCGAUCCGGUUUGAGGGUAACCGGUGGUUUAGAUAUGGUUUGAGGGUGACCGGAGAUUCAGAUUCGGUUUUAAGUUGAUCGACGGUUCAGAUUGGUGAUCGGAAGUUCAGAUCUGGUUUGAAGGUGAUCGGUGGCUGAGAUUGGUGACCGAAAGUUCAGAUCGGUGACCCCCUACUUUCUCUUUCCUCGGGUGAUUGUUCGAGGUUCAAAUAUUCAAGUCAAGUGCUUAGCUUGGUCAAGAAAAGUCAACUCCGACCUUGAGAACAACAAAACUAGAAGCAAAGCCUUAUCCUACACUACACUUAAGCUUAUCCUACACCACACUCAACUUAUCCAUCACCACAAUAAACUCAACAGCAGCAAGUGGGCAGCUCUCCUCGCACUACUCACCUCAACCCCAUCCCACCUUCGCCUAAACACACCGCAACCUCCCUCACUGACACCAACAACUCCAACCAACACCACCGCAACGCCCAUCAUCCCGCAUCUCCUCCGUCGUCUGCGCAUCCCAACAACAUCAAGCACAUCAAAAAUCGCCCAAAAAGAAAAGGAAAUAACAGAGUAAUUUGGUUUGGUCGAACCCGUAUUGAGUUCGGCCGACCCCGAAAUUUAGAAAAGUUCCUGAUUGUAUUUAGGUCCGGCCGAACCAUUAAUGAGUUCGCCCAAAUCAGAACGAAGUCCGGCCGAACCUCCAUUGAGUUUGAUCGAACAUUUGAACGCGGAUUUUUGGUACUGAUUAAUGAACUCAGCCACUGCGAUUUGAUCAAUGGUUCGGUGUUUGAGACUGGUGAUGAUGAAAUUGACAUGCCACGAUUCGUUGAUUGAUGAUGAUCCAACGGUUGUGAUUGAUGGUGAUGCUGAUUGAUGAUUGAUGAUGACGUUGAUGAUUAAGGAUGAUGAUGAUGUGCGAAGGGAUUAAAAAUCCAAGGGAGAGGAGCAGCGAAGGGAGCACGAAGAAAAGAAACAAAAGGGGGUCUGAACUUUGUUUUGGGUUUUUUGGAAAGGAAAAGCUACGGGAGGUGUAGCUGGUUUGUUUUGGGGGGUUUUGAUUAUUUUUAUUUUCCUUUUCUUUUCUCCCUCCUUUAUUCUCCUUUAUUUUAUUUUAAUUUAUUUUUCCUUUUUUCUUUUCUCUUUUUAUUUUCUUUGAGGUUUUAGUAUAAAUACCAAAUUAUUGGGUCAUGAUAAAAGAGAUGUAAAUAAUUAGUUUAGCUUCUCUUUACUUAGGGAUUAGGGUUUUCAUUAGUUUAGUUAAUAAGAGAGAAAAAGUAAGGAAAAAUCAAUGAAAAAUUGGGGCUUUUCAAUUUCAAUGGGUGGCAACUUGUUUUGAAGAUCAACCAUCAAUCAAUGAGAAUUUCUUA